rnacentral:rRNA from 1 species
GGCAGCAGUGGGGAAUAUUGGACAAUGGGGGGAACCCUGAUCCAGCCAUGCCGCGUGUGUGAAGAAGGCCUUAUGGUUGUAAAGCACUUUAAGCGAGGAGGAGGCUCCUAUAGUUAAUACCUAUAGUGAGUGGACGUUACUCGCAGAAUAAGCACCGGCUAACUCUGUGCCAGCAGCCGCGGUAAUACAGAGGGUGCGAGCGUUAAUCGGAUUUACUGGGCGUAAAGCGUGCGUAGGCGGCUUUUUAAGUCGGAUGUGAAAUCCCCGAGCUUAACUUGGGAAUUGCAUUCGAUACUGGGAAGCUAGAGUAUGGGAGAGGAUGGUAGAAUUCCAGGUGUAGCGGUGAAAUGCGUAGAGAUCUGGAGGAAUACCGAUGGCGAAGGCAGCCAUCUGGCCUAAUACUGACGCUGAGGUACGAAAGCAUGGGGAGCAAACAGGAUUAGAUACCCUGGUAGUCCAUGCCGUAAACGAUGUCUACUAGCCGUUGGGGCCUUUGAGGCUUUAGUGGCGCAGCUAACGCGAUAAGUAGACCGCCUGGGGAGUACGGUCGCAAGACUAAAACUCAAAUGAAUUGACGGGGGCCCGCACAAGCGGUGGAGCAUGUGGUUUAAUUCGAUGCAACGCGAAGAACCUUACCUGGUCUUGACAUAGUAAGAACUUUCCAGAGAUGGAUUGGUGCCUUCGGGAACUUACAUACAGG